rnacentral:RNase_P_RNA from 3 species
UCAGAGGGUCGGGCGGCCGCGUCACGUGUCGAACGUGCCGAGGAAAGUCCGGGCUCCACGGAAACGACGGUGCCGGGUAACGCCCGGCGGGCUUCGCAGGCUUCGGCAUGCGGGGUUCAGGGACAGUGCCACAGAGAGCAGACGGCCUUUGGCUUCGGCCGGGUUACGGUGAAAGGGUGCGGUAAGAGCGCACCGCGCGGCCGGUAACGGCAGCGGCAUGGCAAACCCCACCGGGAGCAAGACCGAAUAGGGGCGGCAUGGAGUGCGCAAGUGCUUCGGGGCAUGUUCCGGCCCGCUGCCCGGGUUGGUUGCUGGAGACGGCGUGCAAGCGUCGUCCGAGAGGAAUGGUCGCCUAUCCCGCUUUCGGCGGGUGGACAGAACCCGGCUUACAGACCCUCUGACAUU